rnacentral:antisense_RNA from 1 species
UCUCGCGUUGCCCCCUGGGUGGGGCGGGUAGAUGUGGAAACAGGAAGAGAACUAGAACUGGAAGUAAGGCAUUGAAGAUGUGACUGAAUUGCUGCAAUCUCAUGAUCAAAUUUGAAUGGAUGAGGAGUUGCUUUUUAGGGAUGAGCAAAGAAAGUGGCUUCUCGAGAUGGAAUCUACUGGUGAAGUUGCUGUGAACAUUGUUAAAAUGCCAAUAAAGGAUUUAGGAAUUACAGAAACCUGGUUGAUAAAGCAGUGCCAGGGUGUGAGAGAGUUGACUUCAAUUUUGAAAUAAGUUCCACUGGCUGGGUGUGGUGGCUCACACCUGCAAUCCCAGCACUUUAGGAGGCCGAGACUGGUAGAUCACUUGAGGUCAGGAGUUCAAGACCAGCCUUGCCAACAUGGUGAAACCCCACCUCUACCAAAUUAGCCAGGUGUGGUGCACACCUGUAGUCCCAGCUACUUGGGAAGCUGAGGCAGGAGAAUCUCUUGAACC